UUCUUAUCAAGAGAGGCGGAGGGAAUGGCCCUAUGAAGCCCGGCAACCGCAGACUAUGUCUGAAAGGUGCUAAUUCCAGCAGAACGGAUUGUUCUGAAAGAUAAGAC
rnacentral:ncRNA from 2 species